GGAUGCAGUGACAUGCACCUGUAGCCCCAGUUACUGGGGAGGCUGAGGAAGGAGGAUCUCUUGAGCCGAGGAGUUUGGGGGCCAACCUGGGCAACAUAGUGAGACCUCAU
rnacentral:sRNA from 1 species